AUGACAACUGAACAAAAACGGAUACAUUUUCUCCCCUCCCCGGGAGUCUCAUCACGUUACCUGCAUUUUUCCCCUCCCCGGGGCUCAUCAACGUUACCCUGCCUUUUCUCUCCCUCCCCGGGAGUCUCAUCAACGCUACCCUACAUUUUCUCCCUCCCUGGGAGUCUCAUCAAACAUUACCCUGCAUUUUCUCCCCUCCCCGGGAGUCUCAUCAACGUUACCCUGCAUUUUUUCCGCCUCUCCAGUUCAUCCAGACUAACCACAUAGCAAAAAUCUCCGG
rnacentral:lncRNA from 1 species